UUUUUUGCAAGAGUAUUUUAUUUUGUAGACCAUCUUCUUAUGUCAGUUCUCUACAUCUUUCCACAUAAAGUAUUUUCUACUCCACACAAAACUUCUGGUUUUCACUUGUAAGCCCACACACAUAUUGAUCAAGUUCUAUUUAGCUUUCAUUCCACAAAGAAUAGCUCCUACAAUGUAAAUCAUCUAAAGCAAUUGAAUUCUACUAAGCCAUUUUAAAAUAAAGACUCUCCUGUUCAAUUCCACAAUUUUGCUCAGGAUGCAUUCAAGUUGAAUACCUGUAGAGGCUGGCAAAGACUUACUGUUUUCUCUAAGGCUUCCACUCAUCUGUACAUGAGCAUAGCAUGUGGAUACUGUAUGUAGACACUAGACAUUUACCCUUUACUUCCUUAAAUAUAUAUCUCUACCUUAUUUCUAUGUAGCAUAAAACAGACAUAGUAACUGGAAAUUGCUGUUUGGAAUCGCCAAGCUGAGAGAUUGAGAUGAGCCUGAUCAGAAGAAAUCAACAGUUUGAAGAGAGUACAAGUCUGAAGAAAGCACUGUUAAGUACAUCCAUGCAAGAGCUAAAGGAAAGAAGAUAGUUCAGUAAAGCAAGAAAAGAAAUAGAAAAAAAAAUAGAAAGGAAAUGGAAACCUAUGGAGAGCUGCAAAUCAAACAGUAAAUCAUGCAAGCCUUAGCAAGGCUUGAUAAAAUACAAAGAAGACAUUCAGAGAAACAACUUUUGCAGAGAAAUUAAUACACUAUAUCAUUAAAACCACUCCGAUUACACCUACCAUCUGAGCCUAAGCUUAGACAACAGACUUACAUAAACUGCCACCCACUUUGGUCUACUGUUGCUGCUGGUCUAUAAACUUUUAACUCCAGAACACACUUACGCAUUUAGCUGCCACAAAUAUAAAAGCCUGCAAGAAAAAAAAAAUAGUGAAGCUUGGCAGUGCUUAUCUUUUCAUCCACCCCAUUUAAGUCCAGCUGCAGAUAUCAGUUCAGUCUUAGCUUCCCCCUUACUGAUGUAAGCAAAUGCAGGAUAAUUUCCAAUUGAAGCAAGCUGAUGGCUCUGUAUAAAUUAACACAUACAGGUGAUAGCAGCUUUGGGUACAGAUCUGAUUACAAUCUGAGCCAAGGCUGCCUAAAAGAAGGCAACAGAAGAUCUCUUGCUGGAUGUGGGUGAGAAAUAGGAAGCAGUUUUGCUGCGCAUGGGAAUCAAAGCAGAACGGACCAGUUAACAUGGUUCUCGUGUCAAGUACCACAAGCAGCAAAGCAAAAGAGUGGCUUCAAAUUCCUGGGUGUGGCUGGGUAUGGUUUUUCAUAUGAUCUUAGUAUUGUAAGUAUGAUAUAUAUUUUUUGUUCCUCUUAAGGAGUCUGGUUUAUAGAUUGAAACUGUUUUUAAGUUAAAAAAAGAAUUGUCUUCUUAAUCUGAAUGUACUACAUUGAUUUUAUCUUGCACCCAUCUUUAAUAUUCUACACACACUGCACUGCUUAUGAAACCAAAUAUCCCACGGUGUGUUGUGACUUUACCAAGGCGCUACUUCAAAUCUCACACAGGGUAGAAGUUGGUCUAAAAGUGAUUUGCUGAAGGACAGCCUGGAUCCCAGGCUUGAGAGCUUGCAGAAUAAAGGUAAACAGUGCCACAUGCCUUCAUUAUGCCAUGGGCACUUCCUGAAUCGUAGCAGCGGUGCAGGUAAGUUGGGCCAGAGGACGUGUUUGACAGAGGGUGGAACACUCCAUUAUGUUUACAUUUAUCAC
ensembl:lncRNA